ensembl:lncRNA
GAUCAGAAGCAAGAUAAGGGAGCUCACUCCCUCCCCAAUUAUUCAGUCGAUCAGCUUAUAUUAUUUUAUUGUAAUUUUAAGUGUCAAUGGGUUUGUUCAAAGUUUCCACAAAGGGCUGUCUGAAGGGCUCAGCUGCAGUUUGAACCAGCCAACCCCUGCAAGCAGAGAAAAAUAUACAACACUUCUUGUGGCAAAAGGCUUCGUCGCGUUUUUUCAACGGCGAAGGGCGGGGGAGAAACAGAAUGUCGAUACUUGGAGCAACACUGCCACCUGCAGGUCACAGAAACCAGAACGCCACAAGGCCGAAAGAAAACCCAUCCUUUCUGUUGGGUUUUCGCGCAGACAGCGCGGAUGCGGAAGUUGAGGGGAAUGCCCAUUAGGACCAGAGAAAGGAAGGUGCCUUCUCGAAGGGGCCCGGCCAAACCACCCGUGGACCGCCCGCGAAACCAAGGCAACACAGGCAGGAGGUGGGGAUCCGUUCCUCUCAGAGGCCCUGUUCCUACAGACACACUGUGAAGGUGUCUUGAGCACAGGUCAUCACCCUCUUUUGGAUCUUCGAGAGAACCUGGCCACUGUAAUGCACCUGAGAGGUUGAAAGCCCUGUCUUUAACAGGACGGUGAGUCAGGGCACAGCAGUGUAAGCCCGUCAUUGGGGAACAUGCCAAAGAAUAUCCAGAAGAGAUCCCUAAAGCAGAAUAUUUCAAGAGGCUAGACCCUUCAGUCCAAAGACAUCGACUGAGUCACAGUAUUAUCCCACACCAGAUGCUGUGCAUUACAGGAGCUGAUAGAGGACACAGCCGAUUUAUUUAGUGCCUUCCACCUGCCAGGUCAUGGGCGCUAGGUGUUUUAC